rnacentral:rRNA from 1 species
UUAAGAUACUAAGAGCAUACGGUGGAUGCCUUGGCGAUAUCUGCCGACGAAGGACGUGACAAGCUGCGAAAAGCUGCGGAGAGAUGCAAAUAAUCGGCGACCCGCAGACAUCCGAAUGGAGAAAUCCGGCUGUGAUGAUGCACAGCCAUCCAUGCCCAAGAGCAUGAGAAGGGAACCGGGCGAACUGAAACAUCUAAGUAACCCGAGGAAAAGAAAUCAAACGAGAUACCCCAAGUAGCGGCGAGCGAACAGGGAAGAAGCCCAAACCGGUGAAGGAAACUUUACCGGGGUUGAGGACCAUCAGACCCGCGAAGAACUUUAGCCGAAACUGUUGGGAAACAGUGCCGAAGACAGUGAAAGCCUGGUAGGCGAAAAAGAGAAACGCGGAGAUGGCACCAGAGUACCGCGGGACACGAGAAAUCCCGUGGGAAGCAGGGGGGACCACCCUCCAAGGCAAAACACAGAUAUCGACCGAUAGCGCAUAGUACCAUGAGGGAAAGGUGAAAAGCACCCCGGGAGGGGAAUGAAAGAGAACCUGAAACCGUAUGUUUACAAGCAGUCGGAGACCGCUUAAUAAUAAGGUCGACGGCGUGCCUAUUGAAGAAUGAACCGGCGAGUUACGAAGCCUGGCAAGGUUAAGCAGGAAAUGCGGAGCCGAAGCGAAAGCGAGUCUUAAGAGGGCGCAAGUCAGGAAGCGUAGACCCGAAACCACAGUGAUCUACCCAUGUCCAGGUUGAAACACAGGUAAAAAUGUGUGGAGGACCGAACCUAUAUCCGUUGAAAAGGGUUAGGAUGAGGUGUGGGUAGGGGUGAAAUUCCAAUCGAACGUGGAGAUAGCUGGUUCUCCCCGAAAUAGCUUUAGGGCUAGCCUCAGGGAAAAGAUUGCAGGCGGUAGAGCACUGAUCAGGAGAGGGACCUACCCGGUUACCAAACCCAGUCAAACUCCGAAUGGCUGCAAUCAUACCUGGGAGUCAGACUGCGACUAAUAAGGGCCGCAGUCAAAAGGGAAACAGCCCAGACCAUCAGCUAAGGUCCCCAAUGCCGUGCUAAGUGGCAAAGGAUGUGGCAUUUCAUAAACAACCAGGAUGUUGGCUCAGAAGCAGCCACCAUUUAAAGAGUGCGUAAUAGCUCACUGGUCGAGAGACGCUGCGCCGAAAAUGUCCGGGGCUCAAGCACGGAACCGAAGCUAUGGCAUGAUAGCAAUAUCAUGGGUAGGGGAGCGUUCUUAUAAGGAAGAAGCAUGACCGGAAGGACAUGUGGACGAAUAAGAAGUGAGAAUGCCGGUAUGAGUAUCGAAAAGAAAGGUGAGAAUCCUUUCCACCGAAAGCCCGAGGGUUCCUGAGCAACGAUCGUCGACUCAGGGUAAGUCGGGACCUAAGCCGAGGCGAGAAGCGUAGGCGAUGGACAACAGGUUGAAAUUCCUGUACCGGAUCAAGUCGAUCGAGCGAAGGAGCGACGCAGGAGGGCACAUGAUCGCGCGGCUGGAAGAGCGCGUCCAAGUGCGUAUGUUGCAGCAGAGGAAAACCCCUGCAGCUAAAAGCAGAGACAUGAUGGGGAGUUAAAGGAAACUUUGACGAACUCAUGAAUCCCACACUGCCAAGAAAAACUUCUAGCGAGACAAGAUCCGCCCGUACCGUAAACCGACACAGGUAGGCGGGGAGAGAAUCCUAAGGUGCGCGGGAAAACCCUCGUUAAGGAACUCGGCAAAUUGCAUCCGUAACCUAGGGAGAAGGAUGGCCCCCGGUCAGUGAAGAGCAGAAACGCUCAGAGCUAAAAGGGGCGGCAGAAAAGAGGCCCAAGCAACUGUUUACCAAAAACACAGGUGCCUGCGAAAGCGAAAGCUGAAGUAUAGGUGCUGACGCCUGCCCGGUGCCGGAAGGUUAAGGAGAGAAGUUAGCGAAAGCGAAGCAUCGAACUGAAGCCCCGGUGAACGGCGGCCGUAACUAUAACGGUCCUAAGGUAGCGAAAUUCCUUGUCGGGUAAG